rnacentral:rRNA from 1 species
GACAGAGGUCCCGAGCGUUAGGCGGAAUCACUGGGCGUAAAGCGUGCGCAGGCGGUCUUGUAAGCCAGAUGUGAAAUCCCCGGGCUUAACCUGGGAACUGCAUUUGGGACUGCAAGGCUGGAGUACGGCAGAGGGAGGUGGAAUUCCACGUGUAGCAGUGAAAUGCGUAGAGAUGUGGAGGAACACCGAUGGCGAAGGCAGCCUCCUGGGCUAGUACUGACGCUCAUGCACGAAAGCGUGGGGAGCAAACAGG